UAUGGCAGACUAAGUGCAAUGAAUUUAAACUUCAUUCAUAAAGAUUUAUUCUUUUAUUAAAA
rnacentral:tRNA from 1 species